CGGGGCGUAGCGCAGCCUGGUCAGCGCGCUUGGUUCGGGACCAAGAGGUCGGCAGUUCAAAUCUGCCCGCCCCGA
rnacentral:tRNA from 1 species